rnacentral:ncRNA from 1 species
CCUUUAGUGAGGUGGACACGCUUAUGACUUGAAUAUAGUGGGGUCUAGGGGUACAGGAUCUAACCUUCAACGGGUUUUAUAGAGGGUCUGUCGAGUUUAACGGCCAGCAGCCGCGGUAAUUCCAGCUCCAAUAGCGUAUAUUAAAGUUGUUGCAGUUAAAAAGCUCGUAGUUGAACCUUGGGCCUGGCUGGCCGGUCCGCCUCACCGCGUGCACUGGUCCGGCCGGGCCUUUCCUCCUGGGGAGCCGCAUGCCCUUCACUGGGUGUGUCGGGGAACCAGGACUUUUACUUUGAAAAAAUUAGAGUGUUCAAAGCAGGCCUAUGCUCGAAUACAUUAGCAUGGAAUAAUAGAAUAGGACGUGUGGUUCUAUUUUGUUGGUUUCUAGGACCGCCGUAAUGAUUAAUAGGGAUAGUCGGGGGCAUCAGUAUUCAAUUGUCAGAGGUGAAAUUCUUGGAUUUAUUGAAGACUAACUACUGCGAAAGCAUUUGCCAAGGAUGUUUUCAUUAAUCAGUGAACGAAAGUUAGGGGAUCGAAGACGAUCAGAUACCGUCGUAGUCUUAACCAUAAACUAUGCCGACUAGGGAUCGGGCGAUGUUAUCUUUUUGACUCGCUCGGCACCUUACGAGAAAUCAAAGUCUUUGGGUUCUG